rnacentral:rRNA from 1 species
GACGAACGCUGGCGGCGUGCCUAACACAUGCAAGUCGAACGAAGUGGCGGAGGGGUGAGUAAUGCCUAGGAAUCUGCCUGGUAGAGGCGGAUGAGGUGGGGAAACGGGCGCUACUACCGCAUACUACCAGAUGAGCCUAGGUCGGAUUAGCUAGUGGGUGGGGUAAAGGCCUACGAAGGCGACGAUCCGUAACUGGCCUGAGAGGGUGAUGAGCCACACUGGAACUGAGACACGGUCCAGACUCCUACGGGAGGCAGCAGUGGGGAAUCUUGGCCAAUGGGCGAAAGUCUGAUCGAGCCAUGCCGCGUGAGUGAAGAAGGUCUUCGGAUUGUAAAGCACUUUUGGUAGGGAGGCGGUACCAAAAGAAUAAGCACCGGCUAACUUCGUGCCAGCAGCCGCGGUAAUUC